UACAGAGGUCUCAAGCGUUGUUCGGAUUCAUUGGGCGUAAAGGGUGCGUAGGUGGCGCGCUAAGUCGGGUGUGAAAAUUUCGGAGCUUAACUCCGAAACUGCAUUCGAUACUGGCGUGCUUGAGGACUGGAGAGGAGACUGGAAUUCAUGGUGUAGCAGUGAAAUGCGUAGAGAUCAUGAGGAAGACCAGUGGCGAAGGCGGGUCUCUGGACAGUUCCUGACACUGAGGCACGAAGGCCCAGGGGGAGCAAAACGGGGAUUAGAAACCCCUUG
rnacentral:rRNA from 1 species